rnacentral:misc_RNA from 1 species
AGCGAAUAAAGAUUUUCCGGCGAGCUUAUCGAGAUCAAACUUACUGAGGUGAAAAGUAGCCGCCGCUGACUGAACCUGACCAUCUGGAAACUGAUUCUCCGACUGAAUAAACGGCACAACAGCUGUUUGAACCGGCAGUUUCUUAAAUUUUAUUUUACAAAAACAAGGAGACGAAGAUGGAUGAACAACGGAACGAGCCGGCUUAGAUGCUACCGGUACCUUAAGAGCGAGAUUCCCGACGGUUAGACGCACAAAAGGGCACGGAUCCAUGGAUACCCCUCUGCACUUCACUGAAG